GACGAACGCUGGCGGCGUGCUUAACACAUGCAAGUCACGGGGGCUCGCAAGGGCAACCGGCGAACGGGUGCGUAACACGUGAGGGACCUGCCUGGAAACGGGGGAUAGCCGGCCCAACGGCCGGGUAAUACCGCAUACGCUCUUUGGGCGGCAUCGCCUAGAGAGGAAACCUCCGGGGUUUUCAGAGGGCCUCGCGGCCUAUCAGCUAGUUGGCGGGGUAACGGCCCACCAAGGCGACGACGGGUAGCUGGUCUGAGAGGAUGGCCAGCC
rnacentral:rRNA from 1 species